rnacentral:rRNA from 1 species
GAGUUUGAUCUUGGCUCAGAUUGAACGCUGGCGGCAUGCCUUACACAUGCAAGUCGAACGGCAGCACGGGAGCUUGCUCCUGGUGGCGAGUGGCGAACGGGUGAGUAAUGCAUCGGAACGUAUCCUGGAGUGGGGGAUAACGUAGCGAAAGUUACGCUAAUACCGCAUAUUCUGUGAGCAGGAAAGCGGGGGACCUUCGGGCCUCGCGCUCUUGGAGCGGCCGAUGUCGGAUUAGCUAGUUGGUGAGGUAAAGGCUCACCAAGGCGACGAUCCGUAGCAGGUCUGAGAGGAUGAUCUGCCACACUGGAACUGAGACACGGUCCAGACUCCUACGGGAGGCAGCAGUGGGAAUUUUGGACAAUGGGGGCAACCCUGAUCCAGCCAUGCCGCGUGAGUGAAGAAGGCCUGGUUGUAAGACGUCUUCGUCGAGGAGGAAAG